GCAAAGAUAGCUUAACAGAAAAGCAAAGCACUGAAAACGCUUAAAUGGGGGUUAAAUUCCCCCUCUUAGCA
rnacentral:tRNA from 1 species